rnacentral:tRNA from 2 species
GGCCGGUUGGAGUAGCUGGUUAUCUCGUAUCGUUAACACCGAUAAGGUCGCCGGAUCGAGCCCGGCACUGGUCA